rnacentral:rRNA from 1 species
GGCCUGGCGGGAUGGUCCGCCUUACGGUGUGUACUGUCUGGCCGGGCCUUACCUCCUGGUGAGGCCGUAUGCCCUUUACUGGGUGUGCGGUGGAACCAGGAAUUUUACCUUGAGAAAAUUAGAGUGUUCAAAGCAGGCAUAUGCCCGAAUACAUUAGCAUGGAAUAAUAGAAUAGGACGU